rnacentral:rRNA from 1 species
UACGUAGGGUGCAAGCGUUGUCCGGAAUUAUUGGGCGUAAAGAGCUCGUAGGCGGUCUGUCGCGUCUGCUGUGAAAACUCGGGGCUUAACCCCGGGCCUGCAGUGGGUACGGGCAGACUAGAGUGCGGUAGGGGAGACUGGAAUUCCUGGUGUAGCGGUGAAAUGCGUAGAUAUCGGGAGGAACACCAGUGGCGAAGGCGGCUACCUGGCCCCACUCUUGACGCUGAGGCGCGAAAGCUAGGGGAGCAAACGGG